UCGUAUUUUUUGUGAUUGUUGAUAUGCGUGGAUUGAUUUUUUGACUUGGAUUUUUCUGGAUUGGAGAUUUGGAAUAUUGGGCUGAUUUCUGAUGGGUUUGUGUAUGGGUGUGCUGGGUAUUGAGUUUUCUGGGAAGUGUUUCUAUUGAAUUGGAAAUUGCUUGGGGAGUGGCGGGUUUUCUAGGUUGAUCUUUAGGUUUAGUUUCUAGGAAUUGGCUUGGGUUUUCUGGGUUGGAGAUUGGUUUUCAGAAUAUGCGAGGCCAAUUCUGCUUUUGAUUGAAUUUGUGUUCUCU
rnacentral:lncRNA from 1 species